UGGAUCCACAAGUUCUUGGCGAAAUUCUGUCGCUUAACGAUAGAGCUUGCCGAGAAUACUGUAGAUCUUGAGACCGGGAGAGGCUAGAGGUACUCCUAGGGUAGGGGUGAAAUCCGUUAAUCCUAGGGGGACCACCUGUGGUGAAGACGUCUAGCUAGAACGGGUCUGACAGUGAGGAACGAAACCCAGGGGAGCGAACCGGAUUAGAUACCCGGGUAGUCCUGGGCGUAAACAAUGUGGGUCAGGUGUCACACAAUCUUAGUGGUUGUGUGGUGCCGAAGGAAAACCGUUAAACCCACCGCCUGGGGA
rnacentral:rRNA from 1 species